rnacentral:rRNA from 1 species
UACGGGGGGGGCAAGCGUUGUUCGGAAUUACUGGGCGUAAAGGGCUCGUAGGCGGCCAACUAAGUCAUACGUGAAAUCCCUCGGCUUAACCGGGGAACUGCGUCUGAUACUGGAUGGCUUGAGAUUGGGAGAGGGACGCGGAAUUCCAGGUGUAGCGGUGAAAUGCGUAGAUAUCUGGAGGAACACCGGUGGCGAAGGCGGCAUCCUGGACCAACACUGACGCUGAGGAGCGAAAGCCAGGGGAGCAAACGGG